rnacentral:lncRNA from 1 species
GGCCGGGUCAGCUGUGCCGACGGUCCUUUAGUCUGUCCUGGAGGCGCCUCUUCUCUCGGGUCCGUGGUGUGGGCGAGCCCCGGGAGGAGGGUUAAGGGGCGCCCAGCCGUCACAGUCGCCUCUUGGGAGCUGGGGGUGCCCCACCGAGCGGCCUAGGAGGCUCCUAGAGGUUGAGUGACUUUUCCAGGAUCUCGCGGCCCCCGACUGAGCCCGGGGUUGGGGGCACCCGUUUUGGCCUGGAACCUGGACUCAGCUGGAGCAGGACUUCGGCACCCUGCGGAGCUUUUCACAAAGCGGGGAAGCGGAGGCAACACACAUUUGUAAAUAAGUCUUGGAGGAAUCAUAAAAACGGGAAGAAGGAAAAUAAGAAGCACCCAUAAUUC